GGGAAGAUGGCAGAGUGGUCAAUUGCAUUGGACUGUAAAUCCAACACCUUCGGGUUACAUAGGUUCAAAUCCUUUUCUUCCCA
rnacentral:tRNA from 1 species